rnacentral:rRNA from 1 species
UACAGAGGGUGCGAGCCUUAAUCGGAAUUACUGGGCGUAAAGCGCGCGUAGGCGGCUUUUCAAGUCGAUUGUGAAAUCCCCGGGCUUAACCUGGGAACUGCAGUCGAGACUGUCUAGCUAGAGUAUGGGAGAGGGAAGUGGAAUUUCAGGUGUAGCGGUGAAAUGCGUAGAUAUCGGGAGGAACACCAGUGGCGAAGGCGGCUCGCUGGCUCGAUACUGACGCUGAGGUGCGAAAGCGUGGGGAGCAAACAGG